rnacentral:misc_RNA from 1 species
GAACGGUCGGCAGGCGAUCCGCGUCGGUCGCGCGAGGUGGUAUGGUUCCCCAGAGGCCGGUUCUUGUGCUGCCUACCCCUUCAGGGGAAGCGGGCCACUUGAUGUAAGCCUCCAUCCGGCGCCCUCCAACGGGCGCAGGAGGACAACAGAGCACACCCCGCGUACCACCGAGCCUUCGUCGGUCGCGUGGCGCGCGGGGACGUGCGAUGCUCUCGGACCCAGCGAACGCCGUGGGCGAGGACUCACGUCCCAGUCCCGAUAGAAG